rnacentral:rRNA from 1 species
AACCAAGAAAUUUAGUCAUUCUUUUAUGGUAAAAAGACAGUUAAGCAGGUAUAAAAAGUCAUUGGACCUUUAAUAUAGGAGUAAAAUCUAGAUACUAAAAGUUAUACCAGACAUGGCUUAAUUUAGAUGCUGAAGCUGUGAUAGCUUUAAGGGAAACUGGGAUUGGAUACCCCAUUAUUUUUAGUUGUAAAUUUAGUUUAAGCUUACCAGAGUACUACGAAUAAAAAGUUUAAAACUCAAAGAGCUUGGCGGUGUUUUAGACCUCUCAGGGGAACCUGUUCCAUAAUCGACAAUCCGCGUUAAACCUAACCUUUGAUAGCAAUUCAGCCUGUAUACCGUCGUCGUCAGGUAACUUCUUAAAAUAUAGUAGUUAGCUUGAGAAUUUUAUUAAUUAAAACGUCAGAUCAAGGUGCAGCUAAUGAAAGGGUGAGGAUGGGUUACAAUUACAUAUUUGUAAAUACGGAAAACAUUUGAAAUAAUGUCUUAAAGGAGGACUUGAAAGUAAUUUUGAUUAUAUAAAUAGAAUGAAUAGGGCUCUGAAACGUG